rnacentral:rRNA from 1 species
GACGAACGCUGGCGGCGUGCCUAAUACAUGCAAGUAGAACGCUGAAGGAGGAGCUUGCUCUUCUGGAUGAGUUGCGAACGGGUGAGUAACGCGUAGGUAACCUGCCUGGUAGCGGGGGAUAACUAUUGGAAACGAUAGCUAAUACCGCAUAAGAGUAGAUGUUGCAUGACAUUUGCUUAAAAGGUGCAAUUGCAUCACUACCAGAUGGACCUGCGUUGUAUUAGCUAGUUGGUGGGGUAACGGCUCACCAAGGCGACGAUACAUAGCCGACCUGAGAGGGUGAUCGGCCACACUGGGACUGAGACACGGCCCAGACUCCUACGGGAGGCAGCAGUAGGGAAUCUUCGGCAAUGGACGGAAGUCUGACCGAGCAACGCCGCGUGAGUGAAGAAGGUUUUCGGAUCGUAAAGCUCUGUUGUAAGAGAAGAACGAGUGUGAGAGUGGGAAGUUCACACUGUGACGGUAUCUUACCAGAAAGGGACGGCUAACUACGUG